UACCGUUUCUCAUAAAUACAGUUGAAUACUGUAAAUAAACAUUAAUAUGACAAACAAAAUAAUAACAGCAAGCUCCUGUUCAGUCUUACGGGAUAAUACAGUAUUUUUUGGUUUGGUCAGGCAUGUCAGACAUGUGACGAGCUCAUCUGCAACCAUGAGUAAAACUGAUUUAACUACACUGUUUUUCUGCAUUUUAUUAUACGAGAAGGAAGCAGAAUUAAAGACUAUCUAUCCAUUUUCACUCCGAUUGUGACCCUACCAGCACUGAGACGGACGACGAAUUCACUUGUUUUUUACUCCUCGCCUGUAUAUCAAGUUGCUGGUGAUGAAGUCACAUUUGGAGGUUGGAUGAUCAGCAGUGAAAACAUCAUCAUCUGUGAAGGCAAGAUGAAGCUGCGAGGACACUGGAGUUUGUUCAAAGAUGCUUAAUUGGUGUGAACCCUAAGAGGUGAACAAAAGCCAGGCAGGUGAAGGUGUCCGAGAAGACAGGAAAGCUUGUCCAGAAAAACGCAGCAACUGUUAAUCCCCAUGUGAC